rnacentral:lncRNA from 1 species
GCUCUAUGAACGGCGUGCACACAAGCUAAAGAGUGAGUUUGAGAGGCUGAAUCAUAAUCUAAGAGGACCUGAUUCAUAGGGUGCUUGUGAUUUGGGUUCAGAGGUCAUCCCAGAUGAAUUUGAUUCGACCUGCAUACAUUAGAUGGACCAAUAUAAUCAAGCACAAAUUAAUUUAUUAAAAUGCAAUGAUGAGGGUAACACAUCUUUUAGUUGAAUUUACAAAAUAUGUGAAUUAAAAUAAUGAUAAGUGCUAUGAAUAAAAU